CUUAAAAGGACCUGAUUCCUAAUGGGUGGGCCAUCAUGGGGUACAGCCUGCCUCAGGAGUACUGCCGUCCAGCUAGGACACCUGCUGAUGGGUUACUGUGCGCUGCGGAUGGCAUACAGAUGGCAGGGAGUUAUGAUGAGUACCUCUUCAAGCUGGCAGCUGCCAGAGGAGUGUUUUGUCUUUCUACUUUCUCGUUCUACGUUGGGAACUGGGAGCUACAGGAAAACGAAAGAAAGCAGUUGUGUAACACAUUAAAGGCAUCUGAGUCUGCUGCAAUGGAAAUGAAAGAUGAACCCAGCCAGGAUUUGGCAGAGAGGAAUUAG
rnacentral:lncRNA from 1 species